AAUUCCAGCUCAUAGCGUAUAUUAAGUUGCUGCAGUUAAAAGCUCGUAGUUGGAUCUCGGGUGCAGGCUUGCGGACCGCCUCGCGGCGGUCACUGCUCGUCCUGACCUCCACGCCGGUUGUCCGCGCCCUGGAGCUCUUGAAUGAAUGUCUCGGCCGCACGGAACGUUUACUUUGAAGAAAUUAGAGUGCUCAAAGCAGGCCAUUGCCGCCUGUAUAAUGGUGCAUGGAAUAAUGGAAUAGGACCUCGGUUCUAUUUUGCUGGUUUUCGGAGCUCGAGGUAAUGAUUAAUAGGGACAGACGGGGGCAUUCGUAUUGCGGCGCUAGAGGUGAAAUUCUUGGACCGUCGCAAGACGAACUACAGCGAUAGCAUUUGCCAAGCAUGCUUUCAUUAAUCAAGAACGAAAGUCAGAGGUUCGAAGACGAUCAGAUACCGCCAA
rnacentral:rRNA from 1 species